UAUCUUUUUAAGUCGUACAUA
rnacentral:piRNA from 1 species